UACGGAGGGGACUAGCGUUGUUCGGAAUUACUGGGCGUAAAGCGCAUGUAGGCGGUUUUGUAAGUCAGGGGUGAAAUCCCGGGGCUCAACCUCGGAACUGCCUUUGAUACUGCAAAUCUCGAGUCCGGAAGAGGUGAGUGGAAUUCCUAGUGUAGAGGUGAAAUUCGUAGAUAUUAGGAAGAACACCAGUGGCGAAGGCGGCUCACUGGUCCGGUACUGACGCUGAGAUGCGAAAGCGUGGGGAGCAAACAGG
rnacentral:rRNA from 1 species